GAAAAAUACCUACCCAGAGGAACUAAGUUCAAAUGGUCAAGAUUCAGUUGUUUUAUCAAAUGCACCAGUGCUGAGAUUUGCCAGCUAUCUAAUGCCAAAAAUUAGAUGGUUAUCACCCAAAUACUAUUAAUUUAUCUAUUACUAUAUGCAAUUA